GGACUCUGUAAUUCAGCAGGAUGCAGGAGUUGGGAAGAAGCUUAGGCCAGCAAGAUUGCACCAGAAGAACUUCACAAUCAAGAGACACCUUUGAUCAUUUGCCCCUUUGACCUCUACUUCAGUUUACAGAGAAGGAAAGCAAAAUAAGGCUGGAUAACAUUGGAAGGUCACACUGCUAUCAAGUGGCAGACUCAAGAUUUGAACUGAUUCAGUGUACUGCAUCCCACCAGUUCCAUUAAGUUAUACUGGUUUGUAUUAAUCUCUCAUAGACAUCGUAUAAUUAUAUACUAACUAGCUGGCCUGGGUGUUGCUCAGAUUGCAUAUCCCUUGUUAAAUAAAUGCAUCUCUGCUGCUAUUCAGCCUGAAACAGAUUACAUAAAAAGGCACAUAUGAGAAUCAGCUUUGCCAUAAAUAAAAAGUAAUUGAAAUAUUGCA